AGUGAACGCUGGCGGUAGGCCUAACACAUGCCAGUCGAACGGCAGCACAGUAAGAGCUUGCUCUUACGGGUGGCGAGUGGCGGACGGGUGAGGAAUACAUCGGAAUCUACUUUUUCGUGGGGGAUAACGUAGGGAAACUUACGCUAAUACCGCAUACGACCUACGGGUGAAAGCAGGGGAUCUUCGGACCUUGCGCGAUUGAAUGAGCCGAUGUCGGAUUAGCUAGUUGGCGGGGUAAAGGCCCACCAAGGCGACGAUCCGUAGCUGGUCUGAGAGGAUGAUCAGCCACACUGGAGCUGGGACACGGUCCAGACUCCUACGGGAGGCAGCAGUGGGGAAUAUUGGACAAUGGGCGCAAGCCUGAUCCAGCCAUACCGCGUGGGUGAAGAAGGCCUUCGGGUUGUAAAGCCCUUUUGUUGGGAAAGAAAAGCAGCAGGUUAAUACCCCGCUGUUCUGACGGUACCCAAAGAAUAAGCACCGGCUAACUUCGUG
rnacentral:rRNA from 1 species